CAUGGAUGUCAUCAGCAUUGACAAGACUGGAGAGAAUGUCCGUCUGAUCUAUGACACCAAGGGUCACUCUGCUGUUCAUCAUAUUACAUCUGAGGAGGCUAAGUACAAGUUGUGCAAAGUGAGAAAAAUCUUUGUGGGUACAAAAGGAAUUCCUCAUCUGGUGAUUCAUGAUGUUCACACUAUCCACUACCCUGAUCCCCUCAUCAAGGUGAGUAACAGAUUCAGAUUGGUUUGGAGACUGGCAAGAUUACUGAUUUUAUCAAGUUCAACAUUGGUAACCUGUGUAUGGUGACUGAGGGGUGCUAACCUGGGAAGGAUAACCAGGGAGAGACAUCCUGGAUCUUUUCAUGUGGUUCAUGUGAAAGAUGCCAGUGGCAACAGAUUUGUCACCCACCUUUCCAACAUUUUUGUUAUUGGCAAGAGCAACAAACCAUGAACUUCUCCUCCCUGAGGAAAGGGUAUCUGCCUCACCAUUGCUGAAGAGAGAGACGAGAGACUGGCAGCCAAACAGAGAAGUGGGUGAAAUGGUCUCUAGAGACAUGUUAGAAAGCUUUUUGUACUUAAUUAAAGAUAAUAUAGCAUGAAGAAAAGAUCAUUCAUCAUGACCAAGUUGGAUUUAUCCCAGGAAUGCAAGGAUUGUUGAACAUACACAAGUCUAUGAAUAUGAUACAUCAUACCAACAGAAUGAAAGCCUAAAACCAUAUGAUCAUUUCAACAGAUGCCAAAAAAAGCAUUUGAUAAAAUUCAACAUCCCUUCAUGAUAAAAGAAAAACCUCAAAAAACUGAGUAUAGAAGGAACAUAACCUCAACAUAAUAGAAGCCAUAUAUAACAGACCCACAGCUAGUAUCAUACUAAAUGGGGAAAAACUGAAAGCCUUUUCUCUCAGAUCUGCAACACAACAAGGAUGCCCACUUUUGUCACUGUUAUUAAACAUAUUACUGGAAGUCCUAGCUACAGCAAUCAGAGAAGAGAAGGAAAUAAAGGGUCUCCAAAAUGGAAAGGAAGAAGUAAAAUUAUCAUUGUUUGAAGAUGAUAUGAUCCUAUAUUUGGAAAAACCUAAAGACUCCACACACACACAGACAUAUGCACACAAAAACUGUUACAAGAUAAACAAACUCAGUAAAGUUGAAGGAUACAAAAAUCAACAUACAAAAAUCAGUAGCAUUACUGUAUGUUAACAGCAAGCAAUCUGAAAAAGAAAUCAAAAUACUAAUCCCAUUUACAAUAGCCACAAAUAAAAUAAAAUCCCUAGGAAUUUUCCAAAGAAGUGAAAGAUCUCUAUAAUGAAAAUUCUAAAAUAGUGAUGACACCAAAAAAAAAAAAAGAAAGAAAA
rnacentral:lncRNA from 1 species